rnacentral:rRNA from 1 species
CGGACGGGUGAGUAUCGCGUAGGGAUUUAUCGUUGGGUGGGGACAACCGCGGGAAACUGCGGCUAAUACCGCAUGACGCCUUUGGGCCAAAGGUUCGGUGACGGACUGCCUGAUGAGGAGCCUGCGUCCGAUUAGCUAGUAGGUUGGGUAAUGGCUGACCUAGGCUGUGAUCGGUAGCUGGUCUGAGAGGAUGAUCAGCCACACUGGGACUGAGACACGGCCCAG